AUUGAACGCUGGCGGCAGGCCUAACACAUGCAAGUCGAGCGGAGCGGCGGACGGGUGAGUAAUGCCUAGGCAUAUGCCUGGUAGUGGGGGGUAAAGUCCGGAAAAGGGCGCUAAUACAGCAUACUAUCAGAUGAGACUAGGUUGGAUUAGCUAGUUGGUGGGGUAAAGGCUUACCAAGGCGACGAGCCGUAACUGGUCUGAGAGGAUGAUCAGUCACACUGGAACUGAGACACGGUCCAGACGCCUACGGGAGGCAGCAGUGGGGAAUAUUGGACAAUGGGCGAAAGCCUGAUCCAGCCAUGCCGCGUGUGUGAAGAAGGUCUUCGGAUUGUAAAGCACUUUAAGUUGGGAGGCGUUACCAACAGAAUAAGCACCGGCUAACUUCGUGCCAGCCGCCGCGGUAAUUC
rnacentral:rRNA from 1 species